GGACAGAACGAAAGGAGGCAAGAGAAGAAGAAAUGGUGCUCAUUUUUAAGACCAGUACAUCAAGAGUGGGACAGUAUCCAUUCAACUACAGACUUGCCUGAAGCGUGGCUCUCUGCUUUCUCCUCCUUGUCUGGUUGUUGCUCAAGGGAAGACCACGGUUUGGGAUAAUCUCUACUCUCCAACAAACACAUCGCACAUGGGAAUGAUGUCUCUGAGCUUGUGCCUCUGCAAGGCCACACGCUUUAUGGCGCUGAGUCCAAGAGAAGACUUCCAAGUGAUUGUCAGGUUUGUAGAUCCUGCUGCUGCAACUGCUUAGGGCAACGUGCAUCACUUCUCUGUUGGAGCAGUGACACGAAGUCAGCACUGUGUUCAGGGCUGUUUGCUGACUGAGCUCCAAAACCACAGAUUUUCUGCACUUAGUGCUUGGGAGACGUGAGCAGGGGGCUGGAGAAGGAAAAGAAAGCGUUUGUAGUGAUUGGCUGGGGAGCUUGGAGACCUGAAUCAAGACCUGAAGCUGUCAACUUGCUGAAGUAGUGUCUACACAAAGCUGGACUGCAUCAACAGUUCCCCAUUAUCAGCCGCUCUGUGGUUGCAGUGAGACUUGCUGAUGUUCCAACCAGACAAAUACCCUGCUUGGAGGAAAUCCAUUGCUAACGUGAUGGGAGUUGCAAUGUGUGGACAUUAAUUACCUGGCUGCGUGCCCUCCUAACGAACCCUGAUGUUUGCCACCAAAGGAGCUGAGUGUGCCAGUACGGUGCUCACUUGGGCAAGCACCCCAGCAGCUGCAGGACCAAGGCAGAUGUCACAGCUCAGAAGCAAAGCUCGGAACUUGGCCCCUGCCAGCGCCUUGUUGGGUAGCAAUAUUGCUGAUUUCCCUCCUGAAAACUGAGGCUGAUGCUCCUACCUUUCCCCCUCUCCCAUGGCCAUAUUGGCUGUGAUGGGGGGCAAAGCUACCUAGCAGGAGGGAGGGACCUGGGUGAGUAGGUUCUCCAUGGUGGGAUUUACCCUCCCUGGAGGCGCAGUAAGAAGUGGUGGGCUGCAGCUUCCUUCUCUCAGCCCUACUAAGCU